rfam:Drosophila ananassae strain TSC#14024-0371.13 Ctg01_18762, whole genome shotgun sequence.
GGCAAACGCAGCCUGUGUCACAUAUUGCCUCGUGUGAUGACACUGUUUUAGUUUGCCAGAUCGAAGAGGUGCGUCGUGUCCGUGUGGUCUUAUCCCUAGCCAAUAGAUUGCAUAGAAUUAGCAUCAAACAUGU